AUUGAACGCUGGCGGCAGGCCUAACACAUGCAAGUCGAACGGUAACAGGAAGAAGCUUGCUUCUUUGCUGACGAGUGGCGGACGGGUGAGUAAUGUCUGGGAAACUGCCUGAUGGAGGGGGAUAACUACUGGAAACGGUAGCUAAUACCGCAUAACGUCGCAAGACCAAAGAGGGGGACCUUCGGGCCUCUUGCCAUCGGAUGUGCCCAGAUGGGAUUAGCUUGUUGGUGGGGUAACGGCUCACCAAGGCGACGAUCCCUAGCUGGUCUGAGAGGAUGACCAGCCACACUGGAACUGAGACACGGUCCCGACUCCUACGGGAGGCAGCAGUGGGGAAUAUUGCACAAUGGGCGCAAGCCUGAUGCAGCCAUGCCGCGUGUAUGAAGAAGGCCUUCGGGUUGUAAAGUACUUUCAGCGGGGAGGAAGGGAGUAAAGUUAAUACCUUUGCUCAUUGACGUUACCCGCAGAAGAAGCACCGGCUAACUCCGUG
rnacentral:rRNA from 1 species